rnacentral:rRNA from 1 species
GGGGAUGCAAUGGGCGCAAGCCUGAUGCAGCCAUGCCGCGUGUAUGAAGAAGGCCUUCGGGUUGUAAAGCACUUUCAGCAGGGAGGAAGGGAGUAAAGUUAAUACCUUUGCUCUUUGACGUUACCUACAGAAGAAGCACCGGCUAACUCCGUGCCAGCAGCCGCGGUAAU